AAAACGGUCCUUUUAAGGACCAGCUCUAAUAAUGAUUUCGAUUAAU
rfam:Acyrthosiphon pisum strain LSR1 Contig19539, whole genome shotgun sequence.